CGGCCUUCCAAAGUGCUGGGAUUACAGGCAUGAGCCACGACACCCAGCUGGAAGCAUUUAAAAGUUGUGGGGGCUGGCGCGGUGACUCACGCCUGUAAUCCCAGCACUUUGGGAGGCUGAGGUGGGCGGAUCACGAGGUCAGGAGAUUGAGACCAUCCUGGCUAACAAGGUGAAACCCCAUCUCUACUAAAAAUACAAAAAAUUAGCCAGGCGUGGUGGCGGGUGCCUGUAGUCCCAGCUACUCGGGAGGGUGAGGCAGAAGAAUGGUGCAGACCUAGGAGGCAGAGCUUGCAGUGAGCCGAGAUGGCGCCACUGCACUCCAACCUGGGCGACAGAGCGAGACUCUGUCUAAAUAAU
rnacentral:lncRNA from 10 species